rnacentral:precursor_RNA from 2 species
GCUACCAUGUAAACAUGGAAAUCAUGCAACCAUCAGAAUAAAAGAACCUAUCAGAAGAACAUAUCAAAUCAUGCAACCAUCAGAAUAAAAGAUUUUUACAGUUCUAUCACCAUAGUCAUGUCAUUAAAAAGAGACAUAUCCUACAUAAACAUAUAUAUCAAGCCUAAACAAGUAGUAAACAUGUUUACACCCCAUGAGCAGCCAAGAAGCAAGAAGCAAUAGCCAGUACUACUGCCUCAAGCCCUUGAACACAAAAAGGCGAGAACUGGAUGCAGAGGUUUAUCGAUCGAUUCCCGCGUUGUCGUUGGCUGCAACAAGGACCAAAAGGAAGAAAAAAAAAGAACACCCUCUCAAAGAAAUUCGCCGCUCCUGGAUCAGCGCCACAAGGCAGGGAAGGGAUCGAUAAACCACUGCGCCCAGGCAUCACCACCAACCCCCCACCCCCACCUGCGAACAUGAUGGAUUAGCGCAAGAAACCGGAACAAAACAAGAACGGAACACAGAGCCACCUGCAAGAUCGGGCACGAACGAACACUCGUGGGUGUGAAUCUGUGUUUCUCGUGUGUGCAAUGAGGAAGG